CCUACGGGUGGCAGCAGUGAGGAAUAUUGGUCAAUGGACGCAAGUCUGAACCAGCCAUGCCGCGUGCAGGAUGACGGCUCUAUGAGUUGUAAACUGCUUUUGUACGGGGGUAAACCCCGAUACGUGUAUCCGUUUGAAAUUAUCGUACCAAUAAGGAUCGGCUAACCCCGUGCCAGCAGCCGCGGUAAUACGGAGGGUCCGAGCGUUAUCCGGAUUUAUUGGGUUUAAAGGGUGCGUAGGCGGUUUGAUAAGUUAGAGGUGAAAUGUCGGGGCUCAACCCCGAAACUGCCUCUAAUACUGUUGGACUAGAGAAUAGUUGAGGUAGGCGGAAUGUAAGGUGUAGCGGUGAAAUGCUUAGAGAUCAUACAGAACACCGAUGGCGAAGGCAGCUUACCAAACUAAAACUGACGUUGAGGCACGAAAGCGUGGGUAGCAAACAGGAUUAGAUACCCCUGUAGUC
rnacentral:rRNA from 1 species